UGAUCCUGGCUCAGGACGAACGCUGGCGGCGUGCCUAAUACAUGCAAGUCGAACGCUUCUUUUUCCACCGGAGCUUGCUCCACCGGAAAAAGAGGAGUGGCGAACGGGUGAGUAACACGUGGGUAACCUGCCCAUCAGAAGGGGAUAACACUUGGAAACAGGUGCUAAUACCGUAUAACAAUCGAAACCGCAUGGUUUUGAUUUGAAAGGCGCUUUCGGGUGUCGCUGAUGGAUGGACCCGCGGUGCAUUAGCUAGUUGGUGAGGUAACGGCUCACCAAGGCCACGAUGCAUAGCCGACCUGAGAGGGUGAUCGGCCACAUUGGGACUGAGACACGGCCCAAACUCCUACGGGAGGCAGCAGUAGGGAAUCUUCGGCAAUGGACGAAAGUCUGACCGAGCAACGCCGCGUGAGUGAAGAAGGUUUUCGGAUCGUAAAACUCUGUUGUUAGAGAAGAACAAGGAUGAGAGUAACUGUUCAUCCCUUGACGGUAUCUAACCAGAAAGCCACGGCUAACUACUGCCC
rnacentral:rRNA from 1 species